GAGUGCACACUCUCUGACCUCCCCUCACUGAGGACCUUGGUCCUGACACAGUAGGUGUCACCUGGGAGGUGAGGACACACUCUCUGACCUCCCCUCCCUGCGUACCUUGGUCUUGACACACUGGCUGACACCUGGAGGUGGGGGCACACUCUCUGACCUCCCCUCACUGAGGACCUUGGUUCUGAAACCCUGGUGACACCUAGGAGGUGAGGGCACACUCUCUGACCUCACCUCACUGAGGAUCUAGGCUCUGACACACUGGGCUGUCACCUGGGAAGUGAAGGCACACUCUGUGACCUUCCCUCACUGAGGACCUUGGUCCUGACACACUAGGUGUCACCUGGGAGCUGAGGGCACACUCUCUGACCACCCCUCUCUGAGGACCUUGGUCCUGACACACUGUGUGUCACCUGGGAGGUGAGGACACACUGUCUGACCACCCUCACUGAGGACCUUGGUUCUGAAACACUGGGGUGACACCUGGGAAGUCAGUGCACACUGUUUGACUUACCCUCACUGAGGACCUUUGUCCUGACACAUUUAUCUGACACCUGG
rnacentral:lncRNA from 1 species